UUGCAUAUGCUCUGGAAUAUAUUCCAUUUCUCAUUUUCUCUUUCAGAUUCUUGCAAUGGUUUGAUUUAGAUUAACCCAUAAGUUUUCCAUCUAUUAGAACGUCAGCUAAGGUAAAGUGUAAAAUGUGAGUGUAAUUCGUAACCAUUUCGUUCAUUUCAGUUUUGAUCCUACAACGUGAAUUCCAGAGAGAAUGGUUGAUUUUCUUUGAGCGGUUUUUCACGGGAUACAAGAUUCGGUACCCGAAAGUUGGAUUACAGGGGUACAGUGGUCCACUACAACAUCAACAAGUCCUGGAGUAACUGCAGCAACAGCGGGACCAGUUGCCACGCUCAAUACCAAUGGUUGGGUUGGAGAGGAUGGUGUAGUGGCUGGAUAGGGAACAGUUAGAGCAGG